GUAGUAAUUACUAUCGAUUUCUAAAGGAUAAUGGCUAAUUAGAAUAAAUUAGUGUCGUCUGCUUCGAAAUAAAUUCAACAAAAAUGUGGUUGUCUUGUCGACUCUCGAUAGAAUCGCUUAAUACACACUCCAUACUGUUUAGCAGAUUUAAGACCUGAGCCAGCCAUCAUGCCAUCCACAAGAUAUGCAAUUAGUCUUGUAAUGUACUUGUCAUCAGCAACAAUUUCAGUCUCAUCAUCGCUUGGAUAAACAGUAUCCCAUGUUAUUGGAGAAACAAUUUCGAUCGAGUUACAUCUCUCUUCUUCCCCUUUUUUUCAAAUGUCCAAGUGUAUGCCCAUGUGAGUGUGGGUGUAUUCACGAGGACUCCCCUUAUUCCUUAUCCCGCCUAUGCUGGAUUCAACUCUUCUGAUUUCUGACGGAUCACGGGUGGACUGACAGAAGCACUUGUGGAUGGAUGCCUGGCCCUAUUUCACAGGCAUAAAGAUUCCAGCCAUCAAAACCACAAGAUACGCAAUUAGUCUUUACUUGUGCUGGACCUUUCAUCACCAACAAUCUUAAUCUCAUCAUCGAAUGGACAAACAGGUAUCCAGUUUCAUCGGAGAAACAUAUUCACGAGGACGACCUCUUUUCUUAUCCUGUCUGGUGGAUUCAUCUUCUCAACGGAUGGAUGCCUGGCACAAAGUAAGAAAUUCACCUCGAGAUAUUUACGGCGAUGGUUGGGAUCGUUCGUCCGCUUAUCCUGCAAUAUCAAUAUGUUGUCCGCCUCCUGGGAGGCUUUAGCUCCGCCGAAGAUGGAACUGGUAGACAAUUCUUCCAUCGCUUCCUGAUGAAAAACCAAAAGUAUGAGCCAAACUAUUUGGUUUCAAGUUAACCAAAAGGGAAGAAAACACAAGAGAAGAGAGAGAGAAAAAAAGGGGCGAUAGGUGGCACAACAACAAGACACACAAUCACGUCAUCGCCCCAUCAGGUAGCGGUAUUGUUUUCAUUUUAUCAAAGAAGAAGGGAGGA